UACGUAGGUGGCGAGCGUUGUCCGGAAUUAUUGGGCGUAAAGCGCGCGCAGGUGGGAUCUUAAGUCCAUUUUGAAAGUUCGGAGCUCAACUCCGUGAGGGGAUGGAAACUGGGAUUCUUGAGUACCGGAGAGGAAAGCGGAAUUCCCCGUGUAGCGGUGAAAUGCGUAGAUAUGGGGAGGAACACCAGUGGCGAAGGCGGCUUUCUGGACGGUGUCUGACACUGAGGCGCGAAAGCCAGGGGAGCAAACG
rnacentral:rRNA from 2 species